GAUUAACGCUGGCGGCAUGCUUUACACAUGCAAGUCGAACGGUAACAGGUUAAGCUGACGAGUGGCGAACGGGUGAGUAAUGCAUCGGAACGUGCCCAGUCGUGGGGGAUAACGCAGCGAAAGCUGUGCUAAUACCGCAUACGAUCUCUGGAUGAAAGCGGGGGACCGAAAGGCCUCGCGCGAUUGGAGCGGCCGAUGUCAGAUUAGGUAGUUGGUGGGGUAAAGGCCCACCAAGCCAACGAUCUGUAGCUGGUCCGAGAGGACGACCAGCCACACUGGGACUGAGACACGGCCCAGACUCCUACGGGAGGCAGCAGUGGGGAAUUUUGGACAAUGGGGGUAACCCUGAUCCAGCAAUGCCGCGUGCAGGAUGAAGGCCUUCGGGUUGUAAACUGCUUUUGUACGGAACGAAAAGGUUUGGCCUAAUAAGCUGAGCUCAUGACGGUACCGUAAGAAUAAGCACCGGCUAACUACGUGCCAGCAGCCGCUGUAA
rnacentral:rRNA from 1 species